UCGAGCGAGAAAGCGGGGGCAACCCUGUGAGUACAGCGGCGCACGGGUGAGUAACACGUGGAUGAUCUACCUCCAAGUGGGGAAUAACUCUGGGAAACCGGAGCUAAGACCGCAUACGCCUGCAAAGGGAAAGCCUGCAAGGGCGCUGGGAGAGGAGUCCGCGACCGAUUAGCUAGUUGGUGAGGUAACGGCUCACCAAGGCGACGAUCGGUAGCCGGCCUGAGAGGGCACACGGCCACACUGGCACUGAAACACGGGCCAGACUCCUACGGGAGGCAGCAGUGGGGAAUCUUGCACAAUGGAGGAAACUCUGAUGCAGCGACGCCGCGUGAGCGAUGAAGCCCUUCGGGGUGUAAAGCUCUUUCGGCAGGGACGAUAAUGACGGUACCUGCAGAAGAAGCUGCGGCUAACUACGUGCCAGCAGCCGCGGUAAUACGUAGGCAGCAAGCGUUGUUCGGA
rnacentral:rRNA from 1 species